GUGAGGAAUAUUGGUCAAUGGGCGAGAGCCUGAACCAGCCAAGUAGCGUGAGGGAUGACCGCCCUACGGGUCGUAAACCUCUUUUAUAAGGGAAUAAAGCGGAGCACGCGUGCUCCUUUGCAUGUACCUUAUGAAUAAGCAUCGGCUAACUCCGUGCCAGCAGCCGCGGUAAUACGGAGGAUGCGAGCGUUAUCCGGAUUUAUUGGGUUUAAAGGGAGCGCAGACGGGACUUUAAGUCAGCUGUGAAAUUUUCCGGCUCAACCGGGAAACUGCAGUUGAUACUGGCGUCCUUGAGUACGGUCGAGGCAGGCGGAAUUCGUGGUGUAGCGGUGAAAUGCUUAGAUAUCACGAAGAACCCCGAUUGCGAAGGCAGCCUGCCAGACCGCAACUGACGUUCAUGCUCGAAAGUGCGGGUAUCAAACAGGAUUAGAUACCCCAGUAGUCC
rnacentral:rRNA from 1 species